CUCCAGGGAGGAGCAUCGAACCAGAUAUCGUCUCUGGGAGGCUGGGCCUGGUGAUGUGGCAACGUCUUGCUCCCUGAGAGGUGAUGGGUAUGCUAGGGAUGCUCGCUCAGGGAACGUGGGCCAAGUCCUCUGAACACGAAGCUCGCAGAGGGGGUGAUUCCUGUGAAUUCUGAAAGGACUUGGGGGCGUCCAGCAAGAGCAGGAGCUUAGAUGGUGGUUCCAGGGCUGGUGUUGCUGACUGGGACGAGUGGACCCCCAGGGUGGGCAUGGAGUGGGGCACUGGCUGGGAGCCUCUGCCUUGCUGUGUCCUGGCUGAAUGAACCCAGGACUUGCUGUGCUCAGAUCCUCCAUUCAAGAGAGCUACAGACACGGGGGUGCUGGUGAGCAGGAGCCGAGACCAUCUGGGGUGGGACCGACCAAGAGUUUGAGGUGUCCAGGGGGUGACGUGAAGAUGACCUAUUGCAGAGGGUCCCUUCUCAUUCACGCUCUGAAGUCUGCACAGGGGCAGGGGCUACCGUGCUCCAUUUCAGUUUGGCCUCUGUUGUAUCAGCCAGAGGCCAGCAGAACUCUAUGGUCACUCCCCCGUGUCACGGACAAUUUGCCACCUCCACCGGCAGCCCAGGGCUCUGCCUGAAUAUUCUCGCCUGAUCGUAGGAUUGUGGGGAGGGAUAUUCUCAUUGAUCUCUAAGGAAAAUAUUGUUCGCUUUUUAAAAACAUGAUCUGGUACCAUUUCAUUGAUCUCUUUAAGGAAGAAAAAUCACAUGGUUGUCAUGAGCAUGUACCGACAGAGCUAGGAGGGCCAGCUGUUCCGGGUUGCCCAGGGCUGUCUUGUUUUUAAAAUGGAAAGUUCGAUGUCCUGGAAAAC
rnacentral:lncRNA from 10 species